GGUUCGGAAUAACGCUGGGAAACUAGCGCUAAUACCGGAUACGCCCUUUUGGGGAAAGGCUUGCUGCCGAAGGAUCGGCCCGCGUCUGAUUAGCUAGUUGGUGGGGUAAUGGCCUACCAAGGCGACGAUCAGUAGCUGGUCUGAGAGGAUGAUCAGCCACACUGGGACUGAGACACGGCCCAGACUCCUACGGGAGGCAGCAGUGGGGAAUAUUGGACAAUGGGCGCAAGCCUGAUCCAGCCAUGCCGCGUGAGUGAUGAAGGCAUUAGGGUUGUAAAGCUCUUUUGUCCGGGACGAUAAUGACGGUACCGGAAGAAUAAGCCCCGGCUAACUUCGUGCCAGCAGCCGCGGUAAUACGAAGGGGGCUAGCGUUGCUCGGAAUCACUGGGCGUAAAGGGCGCGUAGGCGGCCAUUCAAGUCGGGGGUGAAAGCCUGUGGCUCAACCACAGAAUUGCCUUCGAUACUGUUUGGCUUGAGUUUGGUAGAGGUUGGUGGAACUGCGAGUGUAGAGGUGAAAUUCGUAGAUAUUCGCAAGAACACCAGUGGCGAA
rnacentral:rRNA from 1 species